UACGUAGGGGGCAAGCGUUGUCCGGAAUCAUUGGGUACGUAAAGCGCGCGUGAGGCGGCCCGGUAAGUCCGUUGUGAAAGUCAAAGGCUCAACCUUUGAAACGCCGAUGGAUACUGCCGGGCUAGAGUCCGGAAGAGGCGAGUGGAAUUCCUGGUGUAGCGGUGGAAUGCGCAGAUAUCAGGAGGAACACCAAUAGCGAAGGCAGCUCGCUGGGACGGUACUGACGCUGAGACGCGAAAGCGUGGGGAGCAAACAG
rnacentral:rRNA from 1 species